GCGUGAGUGAUGAAGGCCUUCGGGUUGUAAAGCUCUUUUGGCGGGGACGAUGAUGACGGUACCCGCAGAAUAAGCCCCGGCAAACUUCGUGCCAGCAGCCGCGGUAAGACGAAGGGGGCAAGCGUUGUUCGGAAUUACUGGGCGUAAAGGGCGCGUAGGCGGCCGCUUUAGUCAGGUGUGAAAGCCCUGGGCUCAACCUGGGAAUUGCACUUGAUACUGGGUGGCUGGAGAGCGGGAGAGGAUGGUGGAAUUCCCAGUGUAGAGGUGAAAUUCGU
rnacentral:rRNA from 1 species